GACGAACGCUGGCGGCGUGCUUAACACAUGCAAGUCGAGCGGUAAGGCCCUUUCGGGGGUACACGAGCGGCGAACGGGUGAGUAACACGUGGGUGACCUGCCCUCCAGCUCUGGGAUAAGCCUGGGAAACUGGGUCGUAAUACCGGAUAUGACUCCAUGACGCAUGUUGUGGGUGGAAAGCCUUGUGCGGCUGAGGAUGGGCCCGCGGCCUAUCAGCUUGUUGGU
rnacentral:rRNA from 1 species